rnacentral:rRNA from 1 species
GAUGAACGCUGGCGGCGUGCCUAAUACAUGCAAGUCGAGCGAACAGAUGAGGAGCUUGCUCCUCUGACGUUAGCGGCGGACGGGUGAGUAACACGUGGAUAACCUACCUAUCAGACUGGGAUAACUUCGGGAAACCGGCGCUAAUACCGGAUAAUAUAUUGAACCGCAUGGUUCAAUAGUGAAAGACGGUUUUGCUGUCACUUAUAGAUGGAUCCGCGCCGCAUUAGCUAGUUGGUAAGGUAACGGCUUACCAAGGCAACGAUGCGUAGCCGACCUGAGAGGGUGAUCGGCCACACUGGAACGUAGACACGGUCCAGACUCCUACGGGAGGCAGCAGUAGGGAAUCGGCCGCAAUGGGCGAAAGCCUGACGGAGCAACGCCGCGUGAGUGAUGAAGGUCUUCGGAUCGUAAAACUCUGUUAUUAGGGAAGAACAAAUGUGUAAGUAACUAUGCACGUCUUGACGGUACCUAAUCAGAAAGCCACGGCUAACUACGUG